rnacentral:rRNA from 1 species
AGCUCCAAUAGCGUAUAUUUAAGUUGUUGCAGUUAAAAAGCUCGUAGUUGGAUUUUGGGUCGGGGGCACCGGUCCGCCGUUCCGGUGUGCACUGGUGGCCCCUUCCUUUCUGCCGGGGACGUGCGUCGCACUUCAUUGGGUGGCGUACGGAGUCGGCGUUGUUACUUUGAAAAAAUUAGAGUGUUCAAAGCAAGCCAUCGCUCUGAAUACAUUAGCAUGGAAUAACAUGAUAGGACUCCGGUCUUAUUUUGUUGGUUUCCGAGACUGGAGUAAUGAUUAAGAGGGACAGUCGGGGGCAUCCGUAUUUCAUUGUCAGAGGUGAAAUUCUUGGAUUUAUGAAAGACGAACUUCUGCGAAAGCAUUUGCCAAGGAUGUUUUCA